rnacentral:rRNA from 1 species
GACGAACGCUGGCGGCGUGCUUAACACAUGCAAGUCGAACGGUAAGGCCCUUCGGGGUACACGAGUGGCGAACGGGUGAGUAACACGUGGGUGAUCUGCCCUGCACUUCGGGAUAAGCCUGGGAAACUGGGUCUAAUACCGGAUUGGACUCUGGACUGCAUGGUCUGGGGUGGAAAGCUUUUGCGGUGUGGGAUGGGCCCGCGGCCUAUCAGCUUGUUGGUUGGGUGAUGGCCUACCAAGGCGACGACGGGUAGCCGGCCUGAGAGGGUGACCGGCCACACUGGGACUGAGAUACGGCCCAGACUCCUACGGGAGGCAGCAGUGGGGAAUAUUGCACAAUGGGCGCAAGCCUGACGCAGCGACGCCGCGUGAGGGAUGACGGCCUUCGGGUUGUAAACCUCUUUCAGCAUCGACGAAGCGAAAGUGACGGUAGGUGCAGAAGAAGGACCGGCCAACUACGUGCCAGCCGCCGCGGUAA